UACAGAGGGGGCAAGCGUUGUUCGGAAUUACUGGGCGUAAAGGGCGCGUAGGCGGCCUGUUAAGUCGAACGUGAAAUCCCCGGGCUCAACCCGGGAACUGCGUCCGAUACUGGCAGGCUUGAAUCCGGGAGAGGGAUGCGGAAUUCCAGGUGUAGCGGUGAAAUGCGUAGAUAUCUGGAGGAACACCGGUGGCGAAGGCGGUUGCCUGGAGCUUUGCUGACGCUGAUGCGCGAAAGCGUGGGGAGCGAUCCGG
rnacentral:rRNA from 1 species